rnacentral:tRNA from 1 species
UCCGGUGUAGCUCAGUGGCAGAGCGGCUGGCUGUUAACCAGUUGGUCGUAGGUUCGAGUCCUACCGCCGGAG